AGAGUUUGAUCCUGGCUCAGGAUGAACGCCGGCGGUGUGCCUAAUACAUGCAAGUCGAACGCGUUGGCCCAAUUGAUUGAUGGUGCUUGCACCUGAUUGAUUUUGGUCGCCAACGAGUGGCGGACGGUGAGUAACACGUAGGUAACCUGCCAGAAGCGGGGGACAACAUUUGGAAACAGAUGCUAAUACCGCAUAACAGCGUUGUUCGCAUGAACAACGCUUAAAAGAUGCUUCUCGCUAUCACUUCUGGAUGGACCUGCGGUGCAUUAGCUUGUUGGUGGGUAACGGCCUACCAAGGCGAUGAUGCAUAGCCGAGUCUGACCGAAAAAGGGCGAUUAUAAAUGGCCAUAGCCGAAGUGGCCCAUUACUCGCUACGGGAGGCAGCAGUAGGGGGAAUCUUCCCACAAUGGGCGCCAAGCCUGAUGGAGCCACACCGCGUGAGUGAAGAAGGGUUUCGGCCUCGCUAAAAGCUCUGUUGUUAAAGGAAGAACACGUGAUUGAGAGUAACUGUUUCAUACGUUGGACGGCUUAUCUUAACCAGAAAGUCCACGGCGGUAACUACGUGCCAGCCAGCCGCCGGUAAUACGUAGGCUGGCAAAGCGUUAUCCGGAUUUAUUGCGGCCGUAAGAGAGUGCAGGCGGUUUUCUAAGCUCUGAUCGGUGAAAAGCUUCCGGCUUAACCGGCAGAAGUGCAUCGGAAAACUGGAUAACUUGAUGCAGAAAGGAGUGUAGUGAACUUCCAUGUGUAGCGGUGGAAUGCCGUAGAUAUAUGGAAGGGAAGCACCAGUGGCGGAAAGGCGGCUAACCUGGGUUGCAACUGACGCGAGGCUCGGAAAAGCAAUGGGUAGCGAACA
rnacentral:rRNA from 2 species